rnacentral:rRNA from 1 species
AGGGGGAUAACAGUCAGAAAUGACUGCUAAUACCGCAUAAGACCACAGCACCGCAUGGUGCAGGGGUAAAAACUCCGGUGGUACAGGAUGGACCCGCGUCUGAUUAGCUGGUUGGUGAGGUAACGGCUCACCAACACGACGAUCAGUAGCCGGCUUGAGAGAGUGAACGGCCACAUUGGGACUGAGACACGGCCCAAACUCCUACGGGAGGCAGCAGUGGGGAAUAUUGCACAAUGGGGGAAACCCUGAUGCAGCGACGCCGCGUGAAGGAAGAAGUAUCUCGGUAUGUAAACUUCUAUCAGCAGGGAAGAUAGUGACGGUACCCGACUAAGAAGCCCCGGCUAACUACGUGCCAGCAGCCGCGGUAAUACGUAGGGGGCAAGCGUUAUCCGGAUUUACUGGGUGUAAAGGGAGCGUAGACGGUGUGGCAAGUCUGAUGUGAAAGGCAUGGGCUCAACCUGUGGACUGCAUUGGAAACUGUCAUACUUGAGUGCCGGAGGGGCAAGCGGAAUUCCUAGUGUAGCGGUGAAAUGCGUAGAUAUUAGGAGGAACACCAGUGGC